UUUGUUGCCCAGCGUGGUAGACAAAUCCUAUGUUCCUUUAUAUUGCUUUUACCGAGGGCGGUAAAUCAAUGGUUCACCGAAGAAAGGAGGACGGGGUGGACUCGCUGACCAUUCGAUGGUAGCCUCUUCGGCAGGGGUGUUCCUAUGAAUUUGUUAUACCCUGCGUGGUAGACAAAUUCCAUGAUCCUCUUAAUUUUGAUUUACCGCGAGUGGUAAACAAAAUGCACUGGAGUAAGGAGGUAUGGUCGGACUUGCUGGCCAUUCGAUGGCAGCCUUAUUGUCAGGAGUGUUCCUAUGAAUUUG
rnacentral:lncRNA from 1 species